rfam:Streptomyces vietnamensis strain GIM4.0001, complete genome.
CGCUCAUCCAGAGGGGCAGAGGGAAACGGCCCGUUGAAGCCCCGGCAACCCUCCAGUCGGUUACUCGUCCUCCAGCGAGGUCCCCGGCUAGGGAAGGUGCCAAAUCCGUCUCAUGGCGAAAAAUUCGUCAUGGGAAAGAUGAGGA